rnacentral:rRNA from 1 species
GGGUUGUGAGGUUAAGCGACUAAGCGUACACGGUGGAUGCCCUGGCAGUCAGAGGCGAUGAAGGACGUGCUAAUCUGCGAUAAGCGUCGGUAAGGUGAUAUGAACCGUUAUAACCGGCGAUUUCCGAAUGGGGAAACCCAGUGUGUUUCGACACACUAUCAUUAACUGAAUCCAUAGGUUAAUGAGGCGAACCGGGGGAACUGAAACAUCUAAGUACCCCGAGGAAAAGAAAUCAACCGAGAUUCCCCCAGUAGCGGCGAGCGAACGGGGAGCAGCCCAGAGCCUGAAUCAGUGUGUGUGUUAGUGGAAGCGUCUGGAAAGGCGCGCGAUACAGGGUGACAGCCCCGUACACAAAAAUGCACAUGCUGUGAGCUCGAUGAGUAGGGCGGGACACGUGGUAUCCUGUCUGAAUAUGGGGGGACCAUCCUCCAAGGCUAAAUACUCCUGACUGACCGAUAGUGAACCAGUACCGUGAGGGAAAGGCGAAAAGAACCCCGGCGAGGGGAGUGAAAAAGAACCUGAAACCGUGUACGUACAAGCAGUGGGAGCACGCUUAGGCGUGUGACUGCGUACCUUUUGUAUAAUGGGUCAGCGACUUAUAUUCUGUAGCAAGGUUAACCGAAUAGGGGAGCCGAAGGGAAACCGAGUCUUAACUGGGCGUUAAGUUGCAGGGUAUAGACCCGAAACCCGGUGAUCUAGCCAUGGGCAGGUUGAAGGUUGGGUAACACUAACUGGAGGACCGAACCGACUAAUGUUGAAAAAUUAGCGGAUGACUUGUGGCUGGGGGUGAAAGGCCAAUCAAACCGGGAGAUAGCUGGUUCUCCCCGAAAGCUAUUUAGGUAGCGCCUCGUGAAUUCAUCUCCGGGGGUAGAGCACUGUUUCGGCAAGGGGGUCAUCCCGACUUACCAACCCGAUGCAAACUGCGAAUACCGGAGAAUGUUAUCACGGGAGACACACGGCGGGUGCUAACGUCCGUCGUGAAGAGGGAAACAACCCAGACCGCCAGCUAAGGUCCCAAAGUCAUGGUUAAGUGGGAAACGAUGUGGGAAGGCCCAGACAGCCAGGAUGUUGGCUUAGAAGCAGCCAUCAUUUAAAGAAAGCGUAAUAGCUCACUGGUCGAGUCGGCCUGCGCGGAAGAUGUAACGGGGCUAAACCAUGCACCGAAGCUGCGGCAGCGACACUAUGUGUUGUUGGGUAGGGGAGCGUUCUGUAAGCCUGUGAAGGUGUACUGUGAGGUAUGCUGGAGGUAUCAGAAGUGCGAAUGCUGACAUAAGUAACGAUAAAGCGGGUGAAAAGCCCGCUCGCCGGAAGACCAAGGGUUCCUGUCCAACGUUAAUCGGGGCAGGGUGAGUCGACCCCUAAGGCGAGGCCGAAAGGCGUAGUCGAUGGGAAACAGGUUAAUAUUCCUGUACUUGGUGUUACUGCGAAGGGGGGACGGAGAAGGCUAUGUUGGCCGGGCGACGGUUGUCCCGGUUUAAGCGUGUAGGCUGGUUUUCCAGGCAAAUCCGGAAAAUCAAGGCUGAGGCGUGAUGACGAGGCACUACGGUGCUGAAGCAACAAAUGCCCUGCUUCCAGGAAAAGCCUCUAAGCAUCAGGUAACAUCAAAUCGUACCCCAAACCGACACAGGUGGUCAGGUAGAGAAUACCAAGGCGCUUGAGAGAACUCGGGUGAAGGAACUAGGCAAAAUGGUGCCGUAACUUCGGGAGAAGGCACGCUGAUAUGUAGGUGAAGUCCCUCGCGGAUGGAGCUGAAAUCAGUCGAAGAUACCAGCUGGCUGCAACUGUUUAUUAAAAACACAGCACUGUGCAAACACGAAAGUGGACGUAUACGGUGUGACGCCUGCCCGGUGCCGGAAGGUUAAUUGAUGGGGUUAGCGCAAGCGAAGCUCUUGAUCGAAGCCCCGGUAAACGGCGGCCGUAACUAUAACGGUCCUAAGGUAGCGAAAUUCCUUGUCGGGUAAGUUCCGACCUGCACGAAUGGCGUAAUGAUGGCCAGGCUGUCUCCACCCGAGACUCAGUGAAAUUGAACUCGCUGUGAAGAUGCAGUGUACCCGCGGCAAGACGGAAAGACCCCGUGAACCUUUACUAUAGCUUGACACUGAACAUUGAGCCUUGAUGUGUAGGAUAGGUGGGAGGCUUUGAAGUGUGGACGCCAGUCUGCAUGGAGCCGACCUUGAAAUACCACCCUUUAAUGUUUGAUGUUCUAACGUGGACCCGUGAUCCGGGUUGCGGACAGUGUCUGGUGGGUAGUUUGACUGGGGCGGUCUCCUCCUAAAGAGUAACGGAGGAGCACGAAGGUUGGCUAAUCCUGGUCGGACAUCAGGAGGUUAGUGCAAUGGCAUAAGCCAGCUUGACUGCGAGCGUGACGGCGCGAGCAGGUGCGAAAGCAGGUCAUAGUGAUCCGGUGGUUCUGAAUGGAAGGGCCAUCGCUCAACGGAUAAAAGGUACUCCGGGGAUAACAGGCUGAUACCGCCCAAGAGUUCAUAUCGACGGCGGUGUUUGGCACCUCGAUGUCGGCUCAUCACAUCCUGGGGCUGAAGUAGGUCCCAAGGGUAUGGCUGUUCGCCAUUUAAAGUGGUACGCGAGCUGGGUUUAGAACGUCGUGAGACAGUUCGGUCCCUAUCUGCCGUGGGCGCUGGAGAACUGAGGGGGGCUGCUCCUAGUACGAGAGGACCGGAGUGGACGCAUCACUGGUGUUCGGGUUGUCAUGCCAAUGGCACUGCCCGGUAGCUAAAUGCGGAAGAGAUAAGUGCUGAAAGCAUCUAAGCACGAAACUUGCCCCGAGAUGAGUUCUCCCUGACUCCUUGAGAGUCCUGAAGGAACGUUGAAGACGACGACGUUGAUAGGCCGGGUGUGUAAGCGCAGCGAUGCGUUGAGCUAACCGGUACUAAUGAACCGUGAGGCUUAACCUUACAACGCCGAAG